UACAGAGGUGGCAAGCGUUAAUCGGAAUUACUGGGCGUAAAGGGCGUGCAGGCGGUUUGUUAAGUGCAGGGUGAAAGCUCCCGGCUCAACUGGGAGAGGUCCUUGCAUACUGGCAGACUUGAGGGAGGCAGAGGAAAGUGGAAUUCCCGGUGUAGUGGUGAUAUGCGUAGAUAUCGGGAGGAACACCUGUGGCGAAGGCGGCUUUCUGGGCCUUACCUGACGCUGAGACGCGAAAGCGUGGGGAGCGAACCGG
rnacentral:rRNA from 1 species